rnacentral:rRNA from 1 species
GAGUUUGAUCCUGGCUCAGGACGAACGCUGGCGGCGUGCCUAACACAUGCAAGUCGAGCGGAGACAGUGAGUAGCUUGCUAUGAGCUGUUUUAGCGGCGGACGGGUGAGUAACGCGUGAGCAACCUUUCCCAGACAGGGGAAUAACACACCGAAAGGUGUACUAAUACCGUAUAAGACCACGGGAUCACAUGGUUCUGGGGUAAAAGAUUUAUCGGUUUGGGGUGGGCUCGCGUCCGAUUAGGUAGUUGGUGAGGUAACGGCCCACCAAGCCGACGAUCGGUAGCCGACCUGAGAGGGUGAUCGGCCACAUUGGGACUGAGACACGGCCCAAACUCCUACGGGAGGCAGCAGUGGGAAUAUUGGGCAAUGGAGGAAACUCUGACCCAGCAACGCCGCGUGGAGGAAGAAGGUUUUCGGAUCGUAAACUCCUGUCCUUGGAGACGAGUAGAAGACGGUAUCCAAGGAGGAAGCCCCGGCUAACUACGUGCCAGCAGCCGCGGUAAUACGUAGGGGGCAAGCGUUGUCCGGAAUAAUUGGGCGUAAAGGGCGCGUAGGCGGCUCGGUAAGUCUGGAGUGAAAGUCCUGCUUUUAAGGUGGGAAUUGCUUUGGAUACUGUCGGGCUUGAGUGCAGGAGAGGUUAGUGGAAUUCCCAGUGUAGCGGUGAAAUGCGUAGAGAUUGGGAGGAACACCAGUGGCGAAGGCGACUAACUGGACUGUAACUGACGCUGAGGCGCGAAAGUGUGGGGAGCAAACAGGAUUAGAUACCCUGGUAGUCCACACUGUAAACGAUGAAUGCUAGGUGUAGGGGGUAUCGACCCCUUCUGUGCCGCAGUCAACACAAUAAGCAUUCCGCCUGGGGAGUACGGCCGCAAGGUUGAAACUCAAAGGAAUUGACGGGGGCCCGCACAAGCAGCGGAGCAUGUGGUUUAAUUCGACGCAACGCGAAGAACCUUACCAGGUCUUGACAUCCACUUAAACUUACAGAGAUGUAAGGUGUGCUUGCACAAAGUGAGACAGGUGGUGCAUGGUUGUCGUCAGCUCGUGUCGUGAGAUGUUGGGUUAAGUCCCGCAACGAGCGCAACCCUUAUCUUCAGUUACUAACGCGUGAGGGUGAGGACUCUGAAGAGACUGCCGGGGACAACUCGGAGGAAGGUGGGGACGACGUCAAAUCAUCAUGCCCCUUAUGACCUGGGCUACACACGUGCUACAAUGGCCACGACAGAGAGAAGCGAAAUCGCAAGGUAGAGCGGAACUCAAAAAAGUGGUCCCAGUUCGGAUUGUGGGCUGCAACCCGCCCACAUGAAGUCGGAGUUGCUAGUAAUCGCGGAUCAGCAUGCCGCGGUGAAUACGUUCCCGGGCCUUGUACACACCGCCCGUCACACCAUGGGAGUUGGGAGUGCCCAAAGCCGGUGAGGCAACCGCAAGGAGCCAGCCGUCUAAGGCAAGACCAAUGACUGGGGUGAAGUCGGAACAAGGUA